UGCAGUCGACGGAACUGUUUUGAAAGAUUUCUUCGGAAUGAAUUUGAUUUAGUUUAGUGGCGGACGGGUGAGUAACGCGUGAGUAACCUGCCUUCAAGAGGGGGAUAACAUUCUGAAAAGAAUGCUAAUACCGCAUGAUAUAUCGGAAUCACAUGAUUUUGAUAUCAAAGAUUUUAUCGCUUGAAGAUGGACUCGCGUCCGAUUAGUUAGUUGGUGAGGUGACGGCUCACCAAGACCGCGAUCGGUAGCCGGACUGAGAGGUUGAACGGCCACAUUGGGACUGAGACACGGCCCAGACUCCUACGGGGGGCAGCAGUGGGGGAUAUUGCGCAAUGGGGGCAACCCUGACGCAGCAACGCCGCGUGAAGGAUGAAGGUUUUCGGAUUGUAAACUUCUUUUAUUAAGGACGAAAAUUGACGGUACUUAAUGAAUAAGCUCCGGCUAACUACGUGCCAGCAGCCGCGGUAAUACGUAGGGAGCAAGCGUUGUCCGGGAUUUACUGGGUGUAAAGGGUGCGUAGGCGGCUUUGCAAGUCAGAUGUGAAAUCUAUGGGCUCAACCCAUAAACUGCAUUUGAAACUGUAGAGCUUGAGUGAAGUAGAGGCAGGCGGAAUUCCCCGUGUAGC
rnacentral:rRNA from 1 species